rnacentral:rRNA from 1 species
UACAGAGGGGGCAAGCGUUGUUCGGAAUUACUGGGCGUAAAGGGCGCGUAGGCGGCCAACUAAGUCAGACGUGAAAUCCCCAGGCUCAACCUGGGAACUGCGUCUGAUACUGGAUGGCUUGAGUUCGGGAGAGGGAAGUGGAAUUCCAGGUGUAGCGGUGAAAUGCGUAGAUAUCUGGAGGAACACCGGUGGCGAAGGCGGCUUCCUGGACCGACACUGACGCUGAGGCGCGAAAGCUAGGGUAGCAAACGGG